ACUCCUACGGGAGGCAGCAGUGGGGAAUAUUGCACAAUGGGCGCAAGCCUGAUGCAGCCAUGCCGCGUGUGUGAAGAAGGCCUUCGGGUUGUAAAGCACUUUCAGUUGUGAGGAAGGUGGUNUCGUUAAUAGCGGGCAUCAUUUGACGUUAGCAAACAGAAAGAAGCACCGGCUAACUCCGUGCCAGCAGCCGCGGUAAUACGGAGGGUGCGAGCGUUAAUCGGAAUUACUGGGCGUAAAGCGCAUGCAGGUGGUUUGUUAAGUCAGAUGUGAAAGCCCGGGGCU
rnacentral:rRNA from 1 species